rnacentral:rRNA from 1 species
UAUGCUAAUACGGGAUAAUAUAUUUGAGAGGCAUCUCUUGAAUAUCAAAGGUGAGCCAGUACAGGAUGGACCCGCGUCUGAUUAGCUAGUUGGUAAGGUAACGGCUUACCAAGGCGACGAUCAGUAGCCGACCUGAGAGGGUGAUCGGCCACAUUGGAACUGAGACACGGUCCAAACUCCUACGGGAGGCAGCAGUGGGGAAUAUUGCACAAUGGGCGAAAGCCUGAUGCAGCAACGCCGCGUGAGUGAUGAAGGCCUUCGGGUCGUAAAACUCUGUCCUCAAGGAAGGUAAUGACGGUACUUGAGGAGGAAGCCCCGGCUAACUACGUGCCAGCAGCCGCGGUAAUACGUAGGGGGCUAGCGUUAUCCGGAUUUACUGGGCGUAAAGGGUGCGUAGGCGGUCUUUCAAGUCAGGAGUGAAAGGCUACGGCUCAACCGUAGUAAGCUCUUGAAACUGGGAGACUUGAGUGCAGGAGAGGAGAGUGGAAUUCCUAGUGUAGCGGUGAAAUGCGUAGAUAUUAGGAGGAACACCAGUUGCGAAGGCGGCUCUCUGGACUGUAACUGACGCUGAGGCACGAAAGCGUGGGGAGCAAACAGGAUUAGAUACCCUGGUAGUCCACGCUGUAAACGA